UACGUAGGUGGCAAGCGUUGUCCGGAUUUACUGGGCGUAAAGAGCGCGCAGGCGGUCGUUCAAGUCGCGUGUGAAAGCCCCCGGCUCAACUGGGGAGGGUCACGCGAUACUGAUCGACUCGAAGGCAGGAGAGGGUAGUGGAAUUCCCGGUGUAGUGGUGAAAUGCGUAGAUAUCGGGAGGAACACCAGUGGCGAAGGCGACUACCUGGCCUGUUCUUGACGCUGAGGCGCGAAAGCUAGGGGAGCGAACGAGGA
rnacentral:rRNA from 1 species